GGGCUGGGCCGGGCUGGAGCCGCUCCCCGGGCGGUGGCGCUGGGCGGGCCUCGGUCACCCGCUCGGUCUCGCCGCGGUCCCGCCUCGGUUCCCGCUCGGUCCCCGCCUGUUCCAGCCUUGGUACCCCCCCGGUCCCCGGGCGCAGCGGGAGGAAUCUGCUCCGGGGCCCGGAGCGUGACGGGCACGGCGGCAGCGCUCGACAUCGCCGGACCCUCGCACCCAGCUCCGUGCUGCUCCUUCACAACGGGAAAAACCCAAGGUCGCUACAGUUCGUGCUCAGCGCACAGUACAAGUGGGAAUCAGCGAGGUGCAGGUCCUGGGCAGUAGUAUUUAGCUUCUCGUUCUUCUUAGGGACACACAAAUAGCAGAAAGCACAGAUGUGCUAAAAAACCCCAGGCAUAAUAUUUAUCAACCUCUGUCUUCAAAUGAAAUGCAAAACUGAUUUUCCAUCGUAUUCCCAGAACCGCAAGAAAAACACACCAGAACCAUAAUUGUUUCAAGUUCCAUACUUGCAGUAAAAUCGAGAUUUUAAUAUUCUUUCCAAGUUUAUCUGUAAUAUAUAGGUUUAUAUAUUCUAAAGAACUCAGGUCUGUUAAAUUACUGCAUACUCUUUCAUGCUUCUGAGCAAUAGCACAGAUUGUUUGUAUCUUCAACAGAACUGGUUUGUCUCAAUAAAAAGACUUUCAAGUGAAAAA